ensembl:lncRNA
AACGUACUUCAUUUAACAGUUUGUCAGCUGGAUUUAUAAGUUCUACAUAUUUAGAAAAUGUAAUUCCACGUCUAUGAAUCUAAUCCUUAAAAAAAUGAUUAAAAAUGUUGACAAACAUUUGUGCAUCUAGAAAUGAAGAUAACCUAAAUGCUAAACAAUGGGGAAAUUUGUGUUUCCAUGAGGAAGCCAUACCCUGAUGGCCUUUGACGUAAUCCACAAAUGGACCCUCUGUCCUGUCGCCAGAGUGGAAUCCUGCUUUCCAAGGGCUAUUUCCUCUCAGUUGUCAGCAUUCCCUUCUAAUGUUUGGGUUCCUACAGCAGCCCUGGAGGCCUCAUCCUAACUGGGAAGCUGACUCUUUACUGAGCUGCCGGGAGAGUGACUCCCACAGGAGAGCAAUGCAGCUGCUCUUACAAAAGCAGAGCAGACUCGUCUGCCUUCUCCCUGCAGGGACUUGGCCCUGUGCACUGUGAAGACCUCGCUUCAUUCAUCCUAGCUCCCCACACCUCUGACAUCACCUCCCUCCCCAUGCUUUGUGGUGCAGGGACUUUCAUUAUCUCUCCAUCCCUGGGUAAAGAUCUGAUCGAUUAUUUCACACAAACAGUGACCCUUCUAAGGGUCUUCAUUUUUAAUAGGGAGAUGGCAAACUUAAGCCAGGGAAGGGAUCUCCAAAGGCAGUGUGUCCAACACAAGACUUCUGAAGGUAGAAGACAUUUGGGGACGGCAGAGGGAAGCAAGCUUUCUGAAGCCCUGGAAAUCAAGCCAUGUCAAUUACCUCUUUUCAGCAAAGCCUGCUAAGACUGAGACGAUGGAAGGAUUGAGAAGACCCCCCUAAGUAUCAGAAAACUAAGACGGGAAGGAAAGCCAGUCUUACUCAAACUGGAAAUGAAGCACACAGAUUCAGGCGAGAGCUGCUGUGAGCUCCCAGCCCUCAGCAUGUCCCCGACAUGUCUAAAAGUUGAGAGAAGAGAGGAAAGCUAUCUGUUUUAUGGUUAUCGCUAUUGCUAUGGUCGUCAUUCUAGAAACUCUUCCAAGCAACACACUAGCAUCCUAAGUAUUUCCCCUGGUCUGGGCUUCCUCCUGCUUGUUGUCCCCGACAUCGCGCACAGAGCCUUGCCUUAGGGUGGUGGGCAAGGUCUCCAUUGGUCUCUGUCUUCUCCAGCCCUAGGCAGGGGGCCGGGAGUCAGGAGUUAGUCUGGAAGUUAGCUGUCGAUGCUGGAAUACAGACCGCUAGAGACAGGUCUCUACUGGUAAAACCAUGCGACAACCAUUCUG